rnacentral:rRNA from 1 species
UAGGGAAUCUUCGGCAAUGGGGGGAACCCUGACCGAGCAACGCCGCGUGAGUGAAGAAGGUUUUCGGAUCGUAAAGCUCUGUUGUUAAGGAAGAACGAGUGUGAGAAUGGAAAGUUCAUACUGUGACGGUACUUAACCAGAAAGGGACGGCUAACUACGUGCCAGCAGCCGCGGUAAUACGUAGGUCCCGAGCGUUGUCCGGAUUUAUUGGGCGUAAAGCGAGCGCAGGCGGUUAGAUAAGUCUGAAGUUAAAGGCAGUGGCUCAACCAUUGUAGGCUUUGGAAACUGUUUAACUUGAGUGCAGAAGGGGAGAGUGGAAUUCCAUGUGUAGCGGUGAAAUGCGUAGAUAUAUGGAGGAACACCGGUAGCGAAAGCGACUCUCUGGUCUGUAACUGACGCUGAGGCUCGAAAGCGUGGGUAGCAAACAGG